rnacentral:rRNA from 1 species
ACAGCAGCAGCCGCGGGAAUACGUAGGGUGCAAGCGUUAAUCGGAAUUACUGGGCGUAAAGCGUGCGCAGGCGGUUUUGUAAGUCUGUCGUGAAAUCCCCGGGCUCAACCUGGGAAUGGCGAUGGAGACUGCAAGGCUAGAAUCUGGCAGAGGGGGGUAGAAUUCCACGUGUAGCAGUGAAAUGCGUAGAUAUGUGGAGGAACACCGAUGGCGAAGGCAGCCCCCUGGGCUAAGAUUGACGCUCAUGCACGAAAGCGUGGGGAGCAAACAGGAUUAGAUACCCCCGUAGUCCCUGUCUCUUAUAC